rnacentral:rRNA from 1 species
GAUGAACGCUGGCGGCGUGCCUAAUACAUGCAAGUCGAGCGAACGGACGAGAAGCUUGCUUCUCUGAUGUUAGCGGCGGACGGGUGAGUAACACGUGGAUAACCUACCUAUAAGACUGGGAUAACUUCGGGAAACCGGAGCUAAUACCGGAUAAUAUUUUGAACCGCAUGGUUCAAAAGUGAAAGACGGUCUUGCUGUCACUUAUAGAUGGAUCCGCGCUGCAUUAGCUAGUUGGUAAGGUAACGGCUUACCAAGGCAACGAUGCAUAGCCGACCUGAGAGGGUGCUCGGCCACACUGGAACUGAGACACGGUCCAGACUCCUACGGGAGGCAGCAGUAGGGAAUCUUCCGCAAUGGGCGAAAGCCUGACGGAGCAACGCCGCGUGAGUGAUGAAGGUCUUCGGAUCGUAAAACUCUGUUAUUAGGGAAGAACAUAUGUGUAAGUAACUGUGCACAUCUUGACGGUACCUAAUCAGAAAGCCACGGCUAACUACGU